UACGGGGGGGAGCAAGCGUUGUUCGGAUUUACUGGGCGUAAAGGGCGCGUAGGCGGUCAGCACAAGUCAGUUGUGAAAUCUCCGGGCUUAACUCGGAAAGGUCAACUGAUACUGUGCGACUAGAGUGCAGAAGGGGCAACUGGAAUUCUUGGUGUAGCGGUGAAAUGCGUAGAUAUCAAGAGGAACACCUGCGGCGAAGGCGGGUUGCUGGGCUGACACUGACGCUGAGCGCGAAAGCCAGGGGAGCGAACGGG
rnacentral:rRNA from 1 species